AACGAACGCUGGCGGCAUGCCUAACACAUGCAAGUCGAACGGGACCGCCGGGUCUAGUGGCGCACGUGGGCGUAAGGAGGGGGAACCAGCCCUUAGGUACGCAACACCUCCCCGUAGGGGGUCCUCAUACCGCUUAAUCUCAUCCCACCAAAGAUUUCUCGCCUCUGGAUGGGCCCGCGUAGGAUUAGCCGGUUGGUAGGGUAAAAGCCUACCAAGGCGACGAUGCAGAGCUGGUCUGUGAGGAGGAUCAGCCACGCUGGGACUGAGACACGGCCCAGACUCGGACGGGAGGGAGCAGAGGGGAAUAUUGGGGGAGGAGCGAAGGCCUGGCACAGCAGUGCGGGGUGAGUGGGGAAGGCGGUAGGGUUGUAAAGCUCUUUUACCCGGGGUGAGAGUGACGGUACCGGGAGAAUAAGCACCGGCUAACUCCGUG
rnacentral:rRNA from 1 species